GAUGAGCAAGUUCCAAGAAAAAAGAUCUACAACUCGAAGUUGUUCAAGUCAAAAUAAUAAGCAUUUUCAUUCACAAACUAUCUACUCAUGAAAUCCAACUGCUAGAUCCCGAGUUGAGGAUUAUUACAUGCCCGUGCACCUCAAAGCAAGCACAAAUCUAUAAGCAUGCAGAUCCAACCAUCAAUGCUGCCCCUGUUACAAAAGAAUUGAGUUAAGUCGGCUGCAGUACAGGGUAGAUUUUUGCAGAGAUUAUAAAAGAAUGCACACUCUCAAACCUCUCAGUCAAUGAGAAACUGUGCUGCAAUAUUUUCUUUUGUUAAAAAUAUAGCACAAAGCUUGCCAUACUGAAACAACAGGAAUUACCCACUUUUGUAUGACCAUCAAAAAACACUGUUACAGGAAACACGGGAAUGCAUUGAAAUUUCUAGAUGUGACACAGAAAAAGAACAUGUAUAAGCACCGAUGGCAACAUUAUACUCAAGACUCUGUAUAAGAACCACAUGGUCAACUGAAACCCAUUGUCAUCAUUCCAACAUGAGCAACAAAAAGUUGUUUCAAAUGAAAGUAAUUUAAAAUAAAAAAAAAAGGAAUUUGUACUAACAAUUGACAAUCUAGAUGAUCAAAGCUGAACUUAGCUACCCCUCCUGAUGUUACCCUGCAUAGCAGGCAUUGCCCUCAAUGCCUUGGAAAAACCUUUAAAUCAACAUCCAGCCAAAAACCCUCAAGUUGUUACAAACAGUAGAACAAAGCUCAUAUAUCAUUGGUUCCUGUCUCCUAAGAUCAGGGAAACGCCUAGACCAGAUACAAAGGCUCAUCAAAGUCAAAGGCAAGACCUUGCCUCUUGUACGGAAGUAACAAGAAGGCACCAAGUACCACUUUCUGUAUUCACAGGCUUCAAAAGUGAAGCUCUGCUACAGAAGGAGACCGGGCCAUCAAGAAUUGCAGAUUCAUGAGAUUAUGACAGGAAUAUUUCGAGAACUGCAUUCAAGCUAACUGAUAUAAGCAUUCAAGCUAAAAUCCAGAUCUAUCUUGUUUGAGAUUUAAUCAAAUAUUGCACUCUAGCGCUUCAUCCAGAGGAAUAGAGAAGUAAAGAUUGUACAAAACCCUAAACCUAGAACAAAAAAUAAGAAGAAGAGAGAAGAAGCACCAACCAAUAGAGAGAAAGAAGGAUGACUAAGAUCUUAUUUGGGGGAUUCACCGCCCUUGGAGGAGGAAACAUAUCGAGGAGGAGAAUAGAUCAGAGCCGCCAACAUAGCCCCUGGAAGAACAACGUACUUGGCCACAGCAGCCAGCUUCGCCACCAACGGCUCCCCCCGCAUGAUCGACAUUUUUCCACUCUUGAUUCUCCGACUGAACU
rnacentral:misc_RNA from 1 species